UGUCGCUGAUAGGAUGUUUGGGGAGGAUGUCUGUGUGUUGGGACUGUGUGGGAUGAGAAUAAUGGUUUGUUUGUUGUUGUUUGGGUCGUCAAUUUUUAUGUAUGAUCGUUGCAUUUAUUAAAAGUAGGUGCACAGAUCAAUCUUAAAAGGAUAUUCGUAAAAACAGUUGGAUUCUGAACGGGAGGAUUUUCGACCUAUAAAAUAAUUCACACAAUUUAUAAAUAAGCAUUCUUUUAUGUAAGUUUCCGGUACUCGUUUAAUCAAAAGAGAAAACAAUAAGAAAGAUAAGCAAUUCUUAAAUUAGCAUAAGAGCAGCAAAACUAUUAAGUCAAUAAAGUUAAAAGGAACAGAGAAUAACAAGAUUGCAAAAGAAAACGAUGCACCGAAGAAAAAUAAAUUAAUUUCAAUGAUUUUCAGUACCAAGAAUUUCCAAACUAAUAAAAUUACAACGUUAGAUUAACCUCAAUAUUUUUCAGUACUAAGAACUAAAUUAAUAAAGUUAACCAAUGUUCGCACAGAAUAAUAUUGAGAAACAAAGAAAUCUCAGACUAACAAUAAAUUGAUUUCAAUACAUUUCAGCACUAGGAACUAAAUUAAUAGAGUUAACCAAUGUUCCCACAGAAUAAUAUUGAAAAACAAAGAUA